rnacentral:rRNA from 1 species
AUUGAACGCUGGCGGCAGGCCUAACACAUGCAAGUCGAGCGGAUGAAGGGAGCUUGCUCCUGGAUGCAGCGGCCGACGGGCGAGUAAUGCCUAGGAAUCUGCCUGGUAGUGGGGGAUAACGUCCGGAAACGGGCGCUAAUACCGCAUACGUCCUGAGGGAGAAAGGGGGGGAUCUUCGGACCACACGCUAUUAGAUGAGCCUAGGUCGGAUUAGCUAGUUGGUGGGGUAAAGGCCUACCAAGGCGACGAUCCGUAACUGGUCUGAGAGGAUGAUCAGUCACACUGGAACUGAGACACGGUCCAGACUCCUACGGGAGGCAGCAGUGGGGAAUAUUGGACAAUGGGCGAAAGCCUGAUCCAGCCAUGCCGCGUGUGUGAAGAAGGUCUUCGGAUUGUAAAGCACUUUAAGUUGGGAGGAAGGACAGUAAGUUAAUACCUUGCUGUUUUGACGUUACCAACAGAAUAAGCACCGGCUAACUUCGUG